rnacentral:rRNA from 1 species
GACGAACGCUGGCGGCGUGCCUAAUACAUGCAAGUAGAACGCAGUUGCGAACGGGUGAGUAACGCGUAGGUAACAGCUUGGUAGCGGGGGAUAACUAUUGGAAACGAUAGCUAAUACAGCAUCCUAUCAGAUGGACCUGCGUUGUAUUAGCUAGUUGGUGGGGUAACGGCUCACCAAGGCAACGAUACAUAGGCGACCUGAGAGGGUGAUCGGCCAAACUGGGACUGGGGCACGGCCCAGGCUCCUUCGGGGGGCAGCAGUAGGGGAUCUUUGGCAAUGGGCGGAAGGCUUACCGAGCAACGCCGCGGUGGUGAAGGAAGUUUUCGGAUCGUAAAGCUUUUUUGUAAGAGAAGCGGUAUCUUACCAGAAAGGGACGGCUAACUACGUGCCAGCAGCCGCGGUAAUAC